rnacentral:rRNA from 1 species
AUUGAACGCAGGCGGCAGGCCUAACACAUGCAAGUCGAACGAGUGGCGGACGGGUGAGUAAUGUCUGGGAAACUGCCUGAUGGAGGGGGAUAACUACUGGAAACGGUAGCUAAUACCGCAUACCAUCAGAUGUGCCCAGAUGGGAUUAGCUUGUUGGUGGGGUAACGGCUCACCAAGGCGACGAUCCCUAGCUGGUCUGAGAGGAUGACCAGCCACACUGGAACUGAGACACGGUCCAGACUCCUACGGUAGGCAGCAGUGGGGAAGAUUGCACAUUGGGCGCAAGCCUGAGGCAGCCAUGCCGCGUGGAUGAAGAAGGCGUUCGGGUUGUAAAGUAAGUUCGGCGGGAAUGCGUAACCAGCAGAAGAAGCACCGGCUAACUCCGUGCCAGCAGCCGCGGUAAUAC